rnacentral:lncRNA from 1 species
AACACUUCAGAGCAUAUCUAGGCCGCUAGUUACAAGAGUUAAAUUUCAGUCAGGCACUUUGAAUUGAGAUGUUCUGAGUGAAUAUCCACAAGUUACCAAUUAAUCCCACCAAAUUCUCCAAAUUUUUUCCCUAAAUUAAAAAAACCAGGUAAGGAAACUACACAAUUAGGUAUGUAUUAGAGUAAGUGCUCACUGAAAAUGUCUACUCACUAUUAUGUACUAGGCCCUGGGCUAAGCACUUUAUAUAGAUUAUCUGACUUAGGCCUCACCAAAUCUGUAUAAGGAAGGUAACAUUCUCACACACGUUCCUUUGUAAUCAGUUGAAGAAACUGAAGUUACACAUGCCAUUCACUGCCUCCCUACUAACAUUCCCUUCUAAGACAAUCUGUAUACCUAUAAAUCAGCUCUUGCUGACCUUUUAGUACCAUGGGAUAAACCCUCCAGACAAGGUGAUUAGACCUGGAUGAACACUGACCCGAUGAACCUAUCUAAAGUCAUGGAUGGAGGUGGGGAGGAGACAGAAUAGCACACACAUAAAAAGUACCAAGGCUAUAUACUUGCAAUUCAAUUACAUAUGAUUUUCCAAAGAUUUUUAAAAUAAUCCUUUUUUCUUUCCUUAGGUAGAAUGGAUUUCUAUUUCCAUGUGUUCUGGUCCCUGACUAGAAUCCAGUAAACAGUGAUUUCUUUUAGAACAUAACAUUAAUAGCUUGUUCCUAUCCUUUGGUAUCUCCCCUAACACCUACACUAUUUCUAAGCACAAAGUAAAAGUGAUUAUCAGUGCUGAAAUCCAGACUACUUUUAACCUUUAGUGGAAUCAUCUCAAACAGAUAAAUUUAUCUCACAAUAAAACCACUAACUGAAACCUAGUCCUUCCUGAAAGACUCUAAAUUAAUGUGCCACCCAUAACAUUGCUAGUCUUCAAAGGUGCUUCUAGAUAAGAAAUCUACUAGCAUUUAAAUGUAAAAAUCAGUUUUCAUCUCCAUAUCACAUAUAAACAGAUGGCUCACUUUAAUCUGAGAAGCAGUCACUGACAGACUUCAAUACUUGCAACACUGCUUGACUCAACUGUCAAUACCUUUAUUCAAAAGUAACUGCAAGGCUGGGCGCGGGGGCUCACACCUGUAAUCCUAGCACUUUGGGAGGCCGAGUGGGAGGCGGGUGGAUCACCUGAGGUCAGGAGUUCGAGACCAGCCUGACCAACAUGGUAAAACUUUGUCUCUACUAAAAGUGCAAAAUUAGUUGGGUGUGGUGGCACACGUCUGUAAUCCCAGCUACAUGGGAGGGUGAGGCAGGAGAAUCAUGCCACUGCACUCCAGCCUCGGCAACAAGAGUGAAACUCCAUCUCAAAAAUAAAAAUGAAAAAUAAAAAUAACUACACUAUAAUAAAUUUUAUAAAUUGUUUAAAAAUCACUUUAUGGCCGGGCGUGGUGGCUCAUGCUUAUAAUCCCAGCACUUUGGGAGGCCGAAACAGGCGGAUCACGAGGUCAGGAGAUCAAGACCAUCCUGGCUAACAUGCUAAAAAACCCCGUUCUCUACUAAAAAAUACAAAAAAUUAGCCAGGCGUGGUGGCAGGAGCCUGUAGUCCCAGCUACUCCGGAAGCUAAGGCAGGAGAAGGGCAUGAA